rnacentral:rRNA from 1 species
CCUACGGGAGGCAGCAGUGGGGAAUAUUGGACAAUGGGCGAAAGCCUGAUCCAGCCAUGCCGCGUGUGUGAAGAAGGCCUUCGGGUUGUAAAGCACUUUCAGUGGGGAAGAAAGCCUUGGGGCUAAUACCCUCGAGGAAGGACAUCACCCACAGAAGAAGCACCGGCUAACUCCGUGCCAGCAGCCGCGGUAAUACGGAGGGUGCGAGCGUUAAUCGGAAUUACUGGGCGUAAAGCGCGCGUAGGCGGUCUGAUAAGCCGGUUGUGAAAGCCCCGGGCUCAACCUGGGAACGGCAUCCGGAACUGUCAGGCUAGAGUGCAGGAGAGGAAGGUAGAAUUCCCGGUGUAGCGGUGAAAUGCGUAGAGAUCGGGAGGAAUACCAGUGGCGAAGGCGGCCUUCUGGACUGACACUGACGCUGAGGUGCGAAAGCGUGGGUAGCAAACAGGAUUAGAACCCCGGUAGUC